UACAUAGGUCUCAAGCGUUGUUCGGAUUCAUUGGGCGUAAAGGGUGCGUAGGCGGCGAGGCAAGUCAGGUGUGAAAUCUCGGGGCUCAACUCCGAAACUGCACUUGAUACUGAAGAUCUUGAGUUCGGGAGAGGUGAGUGGAACUGCGAGUGUAGAGGUGAAAUUCGUAGAUAUUCGCAAGAACACCAGUGGCGAAGGCGGCUCACUGGCCCGAUACUGACGCUGAGGCACGAAAGCGUGGGGAGCAAACAGG
rnacentral:rRNA from 1 species